rnacentral:sRNA from 1 species
UAUUACGAAUACGUGAUGAUGACCGUGA